rnacentral:rRNA from 1 species
UGGGGAAUAUUGCACAAUGGGCGCAAGCCUGAUGCAGCCAUGCCGCGUGCGUGAAGAAGGCCUUCGGGUUGUAAAAGCACUUUCAGCGAGGAGGAAGGUGGUGAGCUUAAUACGCUCAUCAAUUGACGUUACUCGCAGAAGAAGCACCGGCUAACUCCGUGCCAGCAGCCGCGGUAAUACGGAGGGUGCAAGCGUUAAUCGGAAUUACUGGGCGUAAAGCGCACGCAGGCGGUUUGUUAAGUCAGAUGUGAAAUCCCCGGGCUCAACCUGGGAACUGCAUUUGAAACUGGCAAGCUAGAGUCUCGUAGAGGGGGGUAGAAUUCCAGGUGUAGCGGUGAAAUGCGUAGAGAUCUGGAGGAAUACCGGUGGCGAAGGCGGCCCCCCUGGACGAAGACUGACGCUCAGGUGCGAAAGCGUGGGGCAGCAAACAGGAUUAGAUACCCUGGUAGUCCACGCUGUAAACGAUGUCGAUUUGGGGGCUUGUGCCCU